UGGCGGACGGGUGAGUAACGCGUAGGGAUUUAUCGUUGGGUGGGGGAUAACCCUGGGAAACUGGGGCUAAUACCGCAUGACGCCUGUGGGCCAAAGUUGUAAUGGCGCCUGACGAGAAGCCUGCGUCCGAUUAGCUAGUUGGUGGGGUAAGGGCUUACCAAGGCAUCGAUCGGUAGCUGGUCUGAGAGGAUGAUCAGCCACACUGGGACUGAGACACGGCCCAG
rnacentral:rRNA from 1 species